AGGGUUUGAUCAUGGCUCAGAACGAACGCUGGCGGCAUGCCUAACACAUGCAAGUCGAACGGUAACAGGUCUUCGGAUGCUGACGAGUGGCGCACGGGUGAGUAACGCGUGGAUAUCUGCCUAUUAGUGGGGGACAACUUGUGGAAACGCAAGCUAAUACCGCAUAAUCUCUACGGAGCAAAGCAGGGGACCCUUCGGGGCCUUGUGCUGAUAGAUGAGUCCGCGUCAGAUUAGCUAGUUGGUGGGGUAAGAGCCUACCAAGGCGAUGAUCUGUAGCUGGUUUGAGAGGAUGAUCAGUCACACUGGAACUGAGACACGGUCCAGACUCCUACGGGAGGCAGCAGUGGGGAAUUUUGCACAAUGGGCGCAAGCCUGAUGCAGCGAUGCCGCGUGUGGGAAGAAGGCCUUUGGGUUGUAAACCACUUUCAAUUGGGAAGAAGAGAUGAGAGUUAAUAACUCUCUGAUUUGACGGUACCUUUAGAAGAAGCACCGGCUAAUUUCGUGCCAGCAGCCGCGGUAAUACGAAAGGUGCAAGCGUUGUUCGGAUUUACUGGGCGUAAAGAGAUCGUAGGUGGUUUGUUAAGUUGGAUGUGAAAUCCCGGGGCUCAACCUCGGAACUGCAUCCAAAACUGACAGACUUGAGUUCGGGAGGGGUAAGCGGAAUUCCGUGUGUAGCAGUGAAAUGCGUAGAUAUACGGAGGAACACCUGAGGCGAAGGCGGCUUACUGGACCGAUACUGACACUGAGGAUCGAAAGCGUGGGUAGCAAACAGGAUUAGAUACCCUGGUAGUCCACGCCCUAAACGAUGUCAACUAGCCGUUGCGGGUAUCGACCCCUGCAGUGGCGCAGCUAACGCGAUAAGUUGACCGCCUGGGGAGUACGGUCGCAAGAUUAAAAC
rnacentral:rRNA from 1 species